rnacentral:rRNA from 1 species
UGGCGACCGGCGCACGGGUGAGUAACACGUAUCCAACCUGCCGAUGACUCGGGGAUAGCCUUUCGAAAGAAAGAUUAAUACCCGAUGGCAUAGUUCUUCCGCAUGGUAGAACUAUUAAAGAAUUUCGGUCAUCGAUGGGGAUGCGUUCCAUUAGCUUGUUGGCGGGGUAACGGCCCACCAAGGCAUCGAUGGAUAGGGGUUCUGAGAGGAAGGUCCCCCACAUUGGAACUGAGCACGGUCCAAACUCCUACGGAAGGCAGCAG